UUCCUCUGCAGGAGGAGGCUCCAGCUCUCCCCAGAGGCAGGAGCUGGGAUUCUGUCUCUUUAAAUUCUACAGGGCUGGUUGCUAAGUAACGGAGCUCUGCUGUUUCCUGGCUGCAUUGCAGUGGGGCCACACUCUGCCCUGGUGCCAGGGACACGGGUGGUGGCCAUUUCCCAGGCAGUGACCCGAGAGUGGCGGGGCCCCGCCGGUCCGGGCUGUGGCUCGGGCCUUGCGGCUCGGGCCCGGCUUCAGCCGGGGCUCCUGCGCCAAAGCUGGAUGAGCCCAAGGCCAGCCUGCCAGCCUGCCAGCCCUCCUGGCGGCGCCUGCCUCAGAAGCCAGCUUCGACUAUAGCUCCAGAUCCUAACCACAAAGGCAGAAAGCUUUCUGCUUCUGAAGUUCAUGGAAAACUACAGGACUCCCUAGAGUACGGAACAAGGUCUGCCUCUGCUGAGCAGACAGGUGGUCGAGAAGCCGAAGCCUGGGGACUCCAGGGAAGAAUGAUGGACAUUUGUCCUUUCCUCAAAAUUCUGGAAUACUGAUGUCAACUUGGAAAAAGCGGCUGGAAUCAACUUAUUGGAACACCAGUAUGGGGACUCUGAACCAGUCAGCCUCCAGCCCCUGCCUCAGUGAUGAGCCAGGACCAGGGACUUGCCAUGUCCCCUGCCACCAUCCCUGCCCUGUGACAACAGGCCAUUGGACCAGGAUGGAUGACUCUCCAGAUUUCUUGCCUGCCUACUCAGGUAGAGAUAAUGAAAUCAACCCGGGAGCUGAUCUUGAGAUUGAUGUUUGAAAGGAAUCAUGGGCUUCAUUCACCUACCACAGUAUGUUGAGUCAUUCCCUAGUCGACGUGCCUCUCCCUUGCUUCUGGACACCAGACCCUUGGAAUAAAACUGGACUCACUCCAGAGUCCAUGUCCCAUGAGUACCCACAUGGAAAUCAUUUAUUCCCCAUGGAAAUGGCCAUAAGGCAGUGCUAUCCGGACUGAAGCUGGGAAGGGGAUCUCAUCAAGGAAGCUUCUACUCUCUAGAACUAUCUAAACUCUGACCCAGGUGGUUUGCAGUACACUUAUUUUGUGAACAGUAUAUGACUAAGAACUUGUCAUUUUUCCUUAUGCUAAUUCUGCUUCUUUAACCAGAAUGUCAAGGAUGUUUAUAUUAUCUUUCAUUUGACGUAACCUUCAUUUCCAAAGAUACCCAUCCCUACCCCGUAAGGAGAGAAUCAGCCCUUGUAUUAAAGAAAUAGGCAACCACACAUAAACCGGGUCUGACAGUGGGGGGGGAGGGGGAUUCAGACUCCCAAGUUCUGCUACUCUAUGACCAAAAGAACAGGCAUUUUCUCAAAUCUCUUCCAGGAUCAAUAUCCUUAGUCAUCAUAAUUGCAGUGCAUGUCCUUUCAGUUUUUGGUAUUUUCCUUUCCAGGUUGCCCUCCUAACUUUCCAGAUUUUCUCUAUCAUGCCAUAGCAACCUUAUCACCCUAGAAGUUCACUCCACUCCAGAGCGCUUCACUUUGGAAGUAGAUCCCGCUGCUGGGCCCUUCCUCUGAUUGGUUGCUUCCUGCAGGAAUUUCUGUUCUAAGGAAAAUGCCCAGAUCAGCCAUGUCUUCUUUCCUCCCUGAGCUCCACUCCUGACUCUCAAGACUUUCUCCAUCAUGCCAGAACAACCUCCUCACCCUGAAAGUUCAGUCUGCCUGACGGAGAACGAUCCCACUGCUGGGCUCUUCCUCCGAUUGGUCGCUUCCCGCCAGAACCACCAUUUUAAGGAAAGUGCCCAGAUCAGCCAUGUCUUCAUUUCUCCUUGGGCUCCACUCCUGUCUCUCAAGACUUUCUCCAUCAUGCCACAGCAGCCUCGUCAUCCUGGGAGAUCAGUCUGCCUGACUUUGUACUAGAAGUAGAUCCCACUGCUGGGCUCUUCCUCUGAUUGGUUGCUUUCUGCCAGAACCACCAUUUUAAGGAAAAUGCCCAGACUAGCCAUGUCUUCAUUCCUCCCCGAGAUCCACUCCUGACUCUCUAGAUGUUCUCCAUCAUGCUAGCGGAGCUUCUUCACUCUGGAAGUUUAGUCUGCACUGGCCUCCCACCGGACCUACCCUCUGCCCUAUGGACCCUUCCUCUGAUUGGUCAGUUCCUACAAGAAACUUCAUUUUAAGGAAAGGAGGUCAAGAUCAGCCAUGUCUUCAUUCUCUCUGCACCUCACUCCUGACUCUGCAGACUUCUUCUAUCAUGUCACACAGCAGCCUUCUCACCCUGGGAUUUUGCUCUGUCCAGCAGCCUCAUCACCCUGGAACUUCGCUCCUCACCUGACCUCACACUUCUUCUGAUUGGUCCAUUCCUCUUAGAACCUCUCCUCUCUUAGGUUCCACUCCCGACUCUGCAAAAUUUCUUUACCAUGCCCCAGUAGCUUUCUAACCCUGAAGGUUCGCUUUGCCACUUACUUCCCCCCCUAAAAAUAUAGUCUCUUGGAGGCCUUUUCUCUGAUGGGUCUGUUCCUGUCUGAACCUCCAUUUUAAGUAAAUGCUAGCCAUAACUUCAUUCUUCUUUGAUUUCCAAUCCUGAGUCUCUAGACUUGUUCUACCAUGUUAUAGCAGCCUUCUUGCCUCGGAAGUGCAUUCUGCCCCUGUAGAUUCCUCACCCUAGAAAUUCACUCCAUCCCUAGAUCUAGCCCAAUGCUCAUCCAUCAGAUUUCUAGCAUCCUCACUUGGCCAGCUACAUAGGAUCAGCGACUUGCCAUUUUCCAUAGCACUGACCCUGCUUAUAAGAGAAUAUCAAAAGUAUUUCCAGUCUUUUCCUUCCAAAUAUGUCCCUCCAUGUCUUCUAAAUAAGUAGUCCUUACAUCACCGAAUGAAACAAAAGCAGAAAAGGUACUUCAGCAAAAGUGAUCCAUCCGUGAGCUUCUUCAGAUUGUUUAGGGGAUAUUCCACACCAAAAGUUUUAGUACUCCUAUACUCGAAACAUAACAGAUAUUUUCUCUUAACUCUCUUCCAGGACCAAGAUGACUGGUCAUCAUGAUUACAAUGUGUGCAUUUUCUCUUUUUGGUGCUUUAUCUUGGUAGUUUUCAAGUCAUAGUAUAUAUAUUGUUAUCCUUUCUUAAGGACCAUCUCUCUUUAUCAGUUCAUAUCAGUAUUCUCAUGCCUCCCUUUGUUCUUCCAGAUUCUGUUUUUAUACAUUAUAUGAAUCAUGAGCUUUAUUCCCAAAAAACAGUAUGUUGAAAUACUCCCUAAUCAAUAUGCCUCUCUGCUGCUUCUUCACAUUACUCCCCGGGACUAAAACUAGACACUCUCCAGAUACCAUGUGACCCCAUUUUUAAUGAAAAAAGAAUAAAUUUCCCCAUUGGAAAUAGACCAAAGCAGGGCGGCCGUGACUGAAGAUGGGAAGGGAAAUUGACAGGGAAGCUUCAGAUCUCGAAUCAGACAACUUCUGACCUGAUUGGUUUCAAGCAGUCACGUUAGGUCAAGAGCAUAAGACAGAUGCCGUGUCAUUCUCCCUACUGUGGCCCUGCUAACUGACAUCAUAACCAAAAAAAAAUCCUUUUCUAAUAUCUUUUGUUUUGAUGUUUACCUUUAUUUUCAUCCUAUCCAAAGAUAGCUACAACAUAUAUCAAAGACAGAAACAAGAAAAGCUGCAGGAGCACGUAAAUUUAAUUCACUUAUACAUAUGAGUUUCCAAAUUUUGGCUACAUUCGAUUCAAAUCUUGGCCCUCUAUAACUAAACAAAGCAAGCAUAAUCAAACUCUGACCCACCCAGGCUCUAGUACCCAAAGGUGACUAACAGUUUAAAGCUGAGUAUCUGUCAUUUUCUGUAACAAUGACCAUGCUUCUUUAUACGAUAAUGUGAUCAUGCUCCUAAUUUCUGCUGCUUUGCUAUCAUUUUCACUACUAAAUAUAUCUCAUAAGAUCUAGCUCUCUGGCUAGUGAAGGGAUCAGGAAUCAGAGAAGGGAAAAGUACAUAAAAAGCACUUCAAAAAUCAUUUACAGAAAAGCUAUGAUUGAUAGUUUAGGCCAGAGGUGUCAGACAUGUAAUCUAUAUGUUGUCUGUGGCCCACAACAUUUAGGGCAGCCCAAGCCAAAUUGAAAUAUAAUUGGGAAACAUUUGACAAAAUAAAUGAAAAUACAAAAAAAAAAAAAACCCAGAUACUAUUACGUUUUAAAACUAGGUCAACAUUUAGCAUUCUUGGAGUCCUUAUAUAUGGUUUAGUGGUCCCCAUUUCUAACUGUCUUCUGUAUCACUAAUUAGGCAAUUCCUAUAUUCCAAUAGUUGCGCUCCCAAUGAAUAAUUAGGCAAUGUUCCACACCCCCUGGAGCUCUAUACACAACCAAAACAGGCACAUUUUAACACACUGAUUAUAACACUUUAUUUUGCCAAAAUUUCAAAAACAUGUCUAAUAUCCUUUGUUUUGAUAUCACUCUCAAUUCCAUACAUAUCCUUUCUAAACUCAUAUGCACAAAACCAUCCAUUACAUUAAAGAAUGAAACAGAAAAGCAGAAAAGUCAUUUCAGCAAAACUUGACCACACAUAAACUCUGCUUGAGUCAUUAGGAAAUACUCUAUAGCAAAUCAUCACUGCUCUAUACCAAACCAAAAUGAGAUCAUUUUAUCUACUCUCACCCUGAAACAAGAAUUUUAGCUAUUAUAAUUUCAUUGCAUUUGGUUUUACCUUUAAGUCAUUUCCUUGACAUUUUUGAAGUCAGCGGAUACUUGGUUUUCCUUUCAUAUUGAGCAUUCCUCUGUUUUAAUUCAUUUAGAUCUUCCCAUGACUACACAUUUUUUCCAAUUGCCUUUUCUUAUAUUGCAGGAAUUAUGUAGUUCAUCAUGUUUUAUGGUACACUGAGCUACCCCAAUUGAUAUGCCUCCACUUUGCUUGAGAGCAGCCCCAAAGUUUACAUGAUCACAGCCUCCCAAAUGAAGAUAAUGAAUUCCCCAUGGGAACGGCUUUGAGCCAAAGCUGCUAUGUCUGGAAGUGGAAAGAGAAGUACAUCAAAGUAGUCUUACUUCUCAAGAAAUAGCCAAACUAUUGCCCAAUCAUUUCCCAGCACUCACAGUUGACCAAGAGUAUAGAGAUUUGGCAUUUUUCCCAUAGAGCACUUUUAUUCUUUAUAUCAUCAUGUUCAAACACUUCUAUUAUCUUUGGAUUUGAUGUCGCCUUCAUUUCCAAAUAUAUGGCUACCUAGAGAGCCAAACAUUGUAUCAAAGAAUGCAAAAAGAAACAUAUUAAAGGUACUUUCAAAAAUCACCUGGCAGGAGGUAGAAAGAAUUCAUGCACAUAGACUCCCUUCUCUAGAAAUGACUCCAUUCUGCUCAAACUGUUUUCUAACAUUAUCACUUAACCAACAAGUAAGGACAAGGAACAUGUCAUUAUGUCUACAAAUGUCCUUUUUUCUUGGCAUCAUAAUAUCUGAACAUUUCUCACAAAAAUGAUUUUAAUUCUUCCAUUUCUAAAAUGUCUUGUCUUACUUUUUACUGGUGAGAGAACCAGACUGUGCAUCAAAGAAAAAAAUAAAUAAAUGCAGUAACAAAAAAAAAAAUCACAUACCACACGCUGUGGCUGACAGUUUCAGAAAUAUUCCAUAUUCAAAUGUCCCAAAACUUUAGAGACAACCAAAGCACAGGCAUUGUAUCCACUGAUAACUCUAUCAUAUUACAAUGUCAAAAAUAUUUAAAUAUCCAUUGACUUUAUAUCACUUUCAUUUCCAAAUAUUUUCUUCAUCAUCCCAUACCCAAGGGGAAUAACAAUCAUAUGAAAGAAUGAAACAGAAAUCCAACAAAAGCUCUUCAACCAAAUAUCCACUCGUCUAAACUUUGUUUGGAGAAUUUAAAUCAUAUUUUACAGCAAUAGUUCAAGCUGCUCUAUAACCAAGCAAGUUGAUUCCAUUUCUCCACUUAACUCUUUUUCACAAUAAGAAACUUGGUCAUUAUAAUUUUCCUGCAGUUAAUUGAAACUAUUAGUGCUUUCCUAUAAUAUAUUAAAACCAUACAAUGUUAUCCUCUACUUUAUACAAUGAUAUCCUCUAUUGUUGAGCGUCUUAGUUUAUUUCAGUUUCCCCAUUUUUUUCUCCACCUUUCCAAGCAUACUGUUAUAUGUUAUAGAAGUAAUGGGUUUCAUUCCUGUACCAGGAGGAGGAGAAAUAAUUAAAUUCAAGUGUUUCCAUCGAUCUUUUUCCAAACAGGUUCAUGCAAAAACUUCAGAUAAAUCAUAAAAGACUGUAAUUGUAGGCCAUAUAAGGAGAUAUGUAAAAUUCCCUACUGCAAAUGGUUCAGAGGCAGAACUUCUGAGGCUAGAAGUUGGAAAAGGAGUUCUUGAAAGUAGCCUGAUUUCUCUAUGUCCAUUUCUCCAUGACUUGCCAUGUCCAUGUUUCCUAGCACACACAUUUGGUGAGCAGUUCUUUAAUAGAUACAUGGCUAUUUUGCCUACAGAUGAUGCUUUUGGUGACAUCAUAAUGUUUAAACAUUUGUAAAACACAUUCAUUCCAAAUAUAUUCUUUGACAGCUUAUAAUUUGAGACCAAAAUUUUGUAUUCUAGUGAAAUUAAAUUGCAAAAAAAAAAAAGAAAAAAAAAAAGAAAAGAAAAGAAAGAAAGCCUUCCUUCUACCUUACCCUAUUGGUGGAUUUGCCCAAGGAUUUACACAUUAUUGAACAACCAGUGACCCAUCACUAUAUAAUCUAACAAAACAUGUAUAUUCCUUUUCACCACUUUUUAUGAAGACAACAUCUUUAUACAGCUUAAUUUUAGCACCAUUAAUUUCAGCUCUUCCUUCAUUUUUAUCACUUUAAAAUUAAAAUUAAUUUUAUAAAAUAUUUUUCUCUUUGGAUGAACAUCCUUUUGUAUAAUUUAUUUCAGUCUUCAAUUUCUUUUCUUAUGUUACAGAAGUUAUGAAUUGCAGUGACAUACCACACAAUACUGGGAGUCAAAUCCAAGUAAUAUUUUCACCAUUCUUUUUCUAACACAGAUUUAAGAAAUCAAUAACUUAAUUUCAAUUUUCCAAUCCCUCUCCCCACUCCUAGAAGCAAUCUUUCUUAUGUGGGAAAAGUAAUGCAUUAAAUAUCUUAGCACAGGCUGCUGAGGCAUCAUCAAUAUCAAGAGCUUCAUAUUUUCUUUUUUUAACCAUUAUAUUUUUUAACUUUUAAAAAACUCAUUAUAGUUUUAUUAUUUAAUGCUAGAUGAGCUUUUUGCAAUUAUUCAACAAUUAGCACCCAGAAUUCUAUAAAUUAGCAAAGCAGGAAGAUUCAUUCUAACUGCUCAAUUCUUAGAUAGCAUACUUGUGCCGACUGAGUUUAAGGCAAUAAAUUCUACCUAUUUUUUAUUUUAAAAUUAUGUAUUAAUUUUAUAAAAACUGCACAUUGCUUUAUUUCAACCUGUUGAUUCUUUUCCAUCAUUCUCUUAAACUAUUAGACAAUUCAGUUAUUAUUGGUUGCAUUUCCAUAUCAUACUACCAGGAGUGACCCUCAAAUCCAAGUGUUUCCAAACUCUUUUUCCAAAAAGUGUUCAGGAAAUAUAUAAGGUGAUUUUAACAUUUCCAGGCCCCUCUCCAUUUUUCAAAACACAUUAUGAUGGAGAAGUAUAAUGACAUACCAUAAAACAUGGACUCACUCUGAACUCCAAGAGCUUCUUUACUCUACUACUACUCUUGGUUCAUACAAAAUAUUAGGCAUAGCCCGAUGUGUCUGCAAAUUUAGGACAUAUAUGGAGAGAAAAGUUUCUUCAUGACAUAGAGUUGUAAGGCCAGGAAUUCUUGGCUGGAAGUAGGAUGAGGAAUUCAAGAAAUAAGCCUAAGUUAACCAAAACUACUCUAAUUAUACAUAAAAGCAAUUGUAACAUUUCAUUUCUUUUCAAAAUUUGAGCUCCAAAUUUUCCCUCUUGACCCCUUCUCUCAGCACCUUAUUGAGAAGGUAAACAAUCUGAUAUAAGUUAUACAUGUGCAGUUAUGCAAAACAUGCAUCCAUAUAAUAUGAAAGAAAACAGGAAAAAAAACUAGAAAAACAAAGAAAGUUAAAGAAAAAAAUUGCAUUGAUCAGCAUUCAGACUCCAGGAGUUUUUUCCCUGUAAGUAGACAGCAUUUUUCAUCACAAGCACUUCAGAAUUGUAACGGAUCACAGCACUGUAAUGCUUAGAACAGCUAAAUUAUUUACUGCUGAUCACCAUAUAAUGAGGCUGUUGCUGUAUUCAAUGUUCUACUGUUACUGCAUAGAAUAUUCUGCUCAUUUCAGCUUGCAACAGUUGAUAUAAGUAUUUCUAGGUUUUUCUAAAAGCAUCCUUCUUAUUAUUUCUUAUGGCACAGUAGCUCGGCCAUUGCUGAAAUGAUGUAAGGACACACUGUCAGUUUCAUUCAUAUUCCAUAAACAAUGUCACAGAACUGAAUAGCAAACAAGUAGUAUAACCUUCUCUCAAUUCAUAACCCCCUUCCUAAAAACUGAAAUAUGAGCCAGAUAUUAAAUAUCCAUUAAUUUCUAAUAAAAUUCAAUUUCAAACUUAGCUCUUGUCAUCAUCUAAUCUAAGAAUGAAAGGUAUGGUCAAAAUGAACCUUCCUAGGCAAGAGAAAAAAGAAGAAAGGGAAGGAAGGAAGGAAGGAAGCAAGGGAAGGAAAAAAGGAAGGAGGGAAGGAAGGAAAAAAGGAAG